rnacentral:rRNA from 1 species
UACGAAGGGGGCUAGCGUUGCUCGGAAUUACUGGGCGUAAAGAGCUCGUAGGCGGUUUGUCGCGUCUGCCGUGAAAGUCCGGGGCUCAACUCCGGAUCUGCGGUGGGUACGGGCAGACUAGAGUGAUGUAGGGGAGACUGGAAUUCCUGGUGUAGCGGUGAAAUGCGCAGAUAUCAGGAGGAACACCGGAUGGCGAAGGCAGGUCUCUGGGCAUUAACUGACGCUGAGGAGCGAAAGCGUGGGGAGCGAACAGGA